rnacentral:rRNA from 1 species
AUGGCUCGCGCGGCCCCUCCGCUCUCGGCGCUGCUCCGCGGCCUCUCUUCCCGCCCCUCCCACUCCCCCGCAUUCCACGCCGCGCUGCUCAAGUCAUCUUCCCUCUCCAGCCCCAUCCCAGCCACCGCCCUCCUCACCGCCUACGCGAAAGCCGGCCUCCCAGGCGCCGCCUCCCGCCUGUUCGACGAAAUGCCCGUGCGCGACGCCGUUGCUUGGAACGCGCUCCUCGCAUGCCACGUCCGUCACGCGCGCUGCGGCGCCGUCGCUGAAGUUUUCCGCGGCAUGGCAGCUGCCGGGUUUGUGCCAACGGCCGCCACCCUCUGCACCAUGCUCAAGGCCUGUGCUUCCUCCCGUGCCGUGCGCCCCGGCCGCCAAGUGCACGCGCGGAUAGUUCUUGCGUGCCACGGUGAUGUCAUUAUGACUACAGCUCUUGUUGAUCUCUACAUGAGCUGCGGCUGCGUCGAGGAGGCGAAGAGGCUGUUUAUCCACACGGACUGCCCCAAGGACGUGGCGCUGUGCAACUCUGUUCUUUCAGGCUGCGUGGAGAAUGGCCAAUUCCGGGAGGCUUUCUUGAUGCUGGGCGGUAUUGAACUCAAUGGAAUCACACUGACAUGCGCUCUCACAGCUUGCUCAGCCGCAGCAAAUCUGGCAUAUGGCCUUCAAGUGCAUUGCAAGGUUCUCCGAUGCGGGUUUGAUUCUGAGACUGUCCUAUGCAAUGCACUUAUUGACAUGUAUGCAAAGUGUGGGCGGACAACGGCUGCACGUGUGGUGUUUGAUCGGAUGACUUGCAGAAAUGUCGUUUCCUGGUCCAGUAUGAUUGAUGGUUAUAGUCGCCAUGGGCAUGGCGAAGAGGCUUUGGGUUUGUUUGAGAGGAUGGAGAAAGCUGUACCCAUUGUCGUGCCUAAUGCCAUUACAUUUCUUGCUGUUCUCUCAGCUUGUGGGCACUCUGGUCUUGUGGAUGAAGGCCGAUCAAAGUUACAUUUGAUGAAAAGGAAGUAUGCGAUUGAUCCAGGACCAGAGCACUACGCAUGUUUUAUUGACAUGUUAGGCCGGGCAGGACUGAUUGAUGAGGCAUGGGAUCUGUACUGUUGUUUACGUUCGAACAUAAGUAAGCUCCAUGGUGCUAUCUGUGUGUCUAUGCUGAGUGCAUGUAUUGCUAACAUGGAUGUGGCUAGAGGAAACAUGGUAGCUGAGCAUAUUCUGGAGGUUGAUCCACAUAAUCCUCGAAAUCUUGUGUUAAUAUCAAAUUUUCACGCUGCUGCUGGACAAUGGUCUAUAUCUGAUGAGUCAAGGAAGGGCACAUACUCAUACACUGAGCUGCUGCUGUCACAUGUCUGGCGGAAAGUCAUAGAAGAUGGUUCAUUAGCUUCAAACAGAUCAGUGGUUACUGAAUCAGUCUCAAAAUCUUGUUCCUCCGCAGAAGUGAAAGAUGAAGAUGCUGCAAUCACAGCUGUGAUUGAUGCAGCUGAACUUAAAUGGGAAGAGCAGUCAUUUAGGAGAGGACAAGCUCCUGGAAGGUUUACAUCAGGACGCCAUAAUUGUAUUCGAGAUUACAUUAUUACACAAUCGAAGUGCAUUUGUGGAGUCAAGGACCUUGCAGACUCCCUCAUCCCCAAUCCCACAGUUAGGAGCACAAUCAGCAAUUUGUUAGGAACAAGGACUUGCAGCACUGCCAGCGGUACAGGGAAGCACAGAAGUUCUUCAGGAAGCAACGCUGAUCCCAAAUCACAGAGCCACACCACCUCGGCUGCUUUGGAAAGGGACACGAAGCAAUGUAUGGACAACCAGCUACCGGCAGCUUCUCCCGACGCCCGCCUCCAGGUCGCCACAGAAGGUGAUCAAGUCGACCGCCCUCAGAAGAAUAAUGAUCUGAAGAGCAACACUGAAGGCUCUGCAGGGCGUUCAGCAGAGAAAGCCGUACCUAGUGCUGACCUCCCCAAACUGAAGGAUGUGAGCGGAUCAACUUUGAAGAACGGUACUAUUUCAGGGAGCCUAGAACCAAAAGUUGCCAGGACUGAUCAGUUGAAGAAGAAGCGGAAGAAGGCAGACUCAUCCAAGGCUGUUCAUCCAAACAAUGCUGACUAUGGUUACAACGUUCCAUUUGACCCUGCAUAUUUAAUGAGCAUAGACAUAGACAUAACUCUUGUCAGUGGAACAAUUUACUGGGAAAACCAGGCCGCGUUACACCGUGAUGCCGAAGCUGCUGCACGCUCAAGGCAGGUCUCCCAGGGGAACGCUGGAGCUUCUGCACGUUCAAGGCAGACCGAGAGGCCAAAUGACUCCGGUGCUUGGCCCAGGCCAUCAGAUCGCAACCAGCGCAUGGGCUCUCCUCAAGGCAGAGAGUUGAGAGACAGGCCCCAGUCAAGACCUGAACCAUCAGAGCGCAACCAGCGCUUGGGUUCUCCUCGCGGCAGAGAGUCCCGGGACAGGUCCCGGUCUAGAUCUAAACCAUCAGAGCGCAGCCAGCGCUCGGUUUCUCCUCGUCGCAGAGAGUCGAGGGACAGGUCCCGGUCAAGACCGGCGAGGAAUAGUAGGGACCAUGGGCGUUCCGACAGAGGUUCCAGUGACUACCACGAGGAUCACCAUGACAGGAAGAGAAUGCGCGUCUCUUCUACCGUUGAUGGUGAUACAGAGAGCAGCCAGAGGUCCAGACACAGUUCUAGGAGCAGCCCCAGACGUGAUGACGCGAGCGACGAUGAGCAGAAUUUCAAGAGGAAGUGGGGACGACGAUCACCGGCCGCCAUGGAUGCAUGCAAGGUUCUGAAUAAAGAUGGAGGACUUGUUGCAGCAUUGCUGAUGUCCAAUGCUUUGCUGAUGAGAUUUGUUUUACUAGUGAUUGUAUAUGUCUCGGAAAGCGGAGGAUAA